GUAUAAAUACACACGUCAUGCAAGUAGUUCUCCUCUGACCUUUGCACCACUCAACGCUGCUGCGCGACUCGUCUGCUCGGGAGACAAAGUAGAGCUCACUGAUUUCGCGGGCCACGUAGACGAACAUCUGAAAACAAGUAACGAACCCUGCUCAGAACACCGAGACACACAGACUCUGUCGACACAAUGAACUCUCCCGUGACGUGGUCAAUCCUUGUGGUCUGCGCUGUCUGCUUGCUGAUGACGUCAUCCGUCCAAGCGUCACCCAGACUUCUGAAAAACCAGCUGAUGCAAGCGGCAAGCCACCAGUCCCGGAACUCGCCGUAUAUGGAGGUCGCCGACCGCCUGCUCCGCCGUAUUCUGGACGUGACUUACGAGACUCUUGAGGACAUGGGCGCCACCAAGGAGGAACUGGCCACUGUCCAGCGGAAGCGGAACUACAUCCAGACCUGCUACUUCCAGGCCAUCUCCUGUUACUGACACGCCCCACCUUUCGCCUGUCGGUCUCGUCCUCCGCGAGAUAGAUGGAUUCUUCUGGGGGGGCUCGGGCUGUUGCGGUAUCCACACGUCUUUUAUCUUUUGGGCAACUUACAGACGAUGGCAUGAGAUCAAGACAGUUGGUUGUGUCGAAAGGGGAGGAAAAAACCCACCUACAUUUAACAUAGAAAAAUGAAAUUGAAAACAUGAAACGAAACAAGGCAAAACGGAAGAGCUGAUUUGUUCCCUAUGAUAAAAGUUAGUAACAAUUAUUUGAAAUUCUGAAGUUCUAUUUCCGGGUCGUUUUUAGAUUGCAAGCAAGCAAGAGGACUAUUCUUCAGAAUUUGAAUCUAGUUCAUUGCUAGUGAAAAUGUACAAGCAAGAUGUAAGGGCUUUUCUAAAAUCUUUCGUGACUUUGACAUCCUUAAAAAUGUUGGCUCGCUGUCAAGCUUAGGUCGAAACGUUGAGAUAAUAACGACUUACUCUGAUGCUGGUGUUGUUUGUAUCUAUGAAAAACUACGAUAUCUGCUAUAACAUUCAAGACUAUGUAUUGUACGUUAUUGUUUUGGGUGACUUUUUAAAGUUAAAAAAUGCUGAACAUACGUAUAUAUUUUCGAAAUACCGAGGGCCCAUAAAAAAUAUGCAGACUUUAAUUAAGCUUGUAAAGUUCAAUCCUUUCUUAAAUCAGUUUUGUAAUGCAAUACUUCAUUUCAGUCGUGAAUAUCAAUGAAAAAUACGUCUCCAGCUGUGUGUUAUAGCCCCCCCCCCCCACCCCACAGACAUACAUACAUUCUUUUUCUCUUAGUAUCUUGACUGGCUGUUAUAGAUAGUUUUCUUCGUUUCGUGAUAAUUUCUGGCCUCUUAGAAGUCGGCACGAUUACUGGAAAAUGCAUUUAAAAAAAAUAAAUCUGUUCCUCAUUUAUCAGAAAUACCUGAUCCCUCUACUACUACGGUAUCCUCAUACAUCAAAUCUUCACCGUUUUCUUUAACAAAUUGAUGGGUAAUACAUGUUUGUAGCUUGAACCCAAUCAUUUUUUAGAAGCAGAAAAUACCGACGUUUUCAACUAAAUUUGUCGUGACGAGACAGAGAUUCGGCUUAUUACAUAACUUAUAAAAGUUAACAUCUUCAUGCAAGUUUCAUUAUUUAGACGAUAUCAUUAAUUUUAUUCCCUUCCGUCUUGUUAGCCAAAAUAACGAAUGUAGGUUUUUUCUUCUUCUUCAAGGAAUUCAGUUUCUUUAAAUGAAAUAUUGUCGGAAUGUAAAAGUUUGAUGCCGUUUUUAAAAGAGGUCUGUGAUAGUAAUUGUUAGCAAUAUAAUCUACCAAAAGUGUGUUUUUUAAGCACUCUCAUUAUAACAACUUUGACUGAUUUAAAUGGAAAGGUAUACCAUCUCCAUGUCAUGUGCUCCGCCCAUAAAAAAUCGACUUGAAACGAAA